UACAGAGGUCUCAAGCGUUGUUCGGAUUCAUUGGGCGUAAAGGGUGUGUAGGUGGCGCCGUAAGUCGGGUGUGAAAUUUCGGAGCUUAACUCCGAAACUGCAUUCGAUACUGCGGUGCUUGAGGACUGGAGAGGAGACUGGAAUUCAUGGUGUAGCAGUGAAAUGCGUAGAGAUCCGGAAGAACACCGGUGGCGAAGGCGGCCUGCUGGGCAGUAGCUGACACUGAGGCGCGACAGCGUGGGGAGCAAACAGG
rnacentral:rRNA from 1 species